CUAGAGUAAGCAUCUGUAUAACAAGUAACAUUUUUGUGUAUCACAGAAAUACACUGCACAUUUAUUCUGCUGAGCAAAGAGUAAACAUAAACUAUAAAUAACUAGAGCUUCAGAUAGUGUGGGUUUUUUUCCCUGGCUUUGCAGGUAAGAUCCAAAAUUGCCUCAGCAGAUGCAGGUGGCUGAUGGUUCUUAUUUCUCCGCUUUCUCCUUCGGAAUGGAGUUUGGCAGUACUCUGUUUUAUUGUCUUGGGCCUACCAGUCCUUGAAAAUGAAGUUUACAGCCCUAAAUUUACCUUAUACAUUGUCAAGGGAGGGAGUUAGAAACUUCCAGUAGAAUUCGCAACACCCUGUGUGGUGCAGGAUGGGAGAUGGCUCCGCUAUCCUCAGCAUGUCCACCUGUUGCUGGAACCUGCUCCUCUCCUGAAUGUAUGAUGUAAGUAUAUGGUCGAGAGGCAGGAGGCACCUCUUUAUCUAUGUGUUUGGGACACCUACGUAUGCUCUGGUUUUCAGAAGAUACUUAAAGAAGGGUGGCAUUUACGUAUGUGUGCAUGUGUGUAUAUACACUAGCCUAUGUUAUUUACACGCAACAGCCUAAUAAGUAGAUCCUUUGGCCAGGAAGUGGAGGGCGCAAGUUGCAAAUUCUCUCUACCUGAUGAAAUCAAAACUUACUACCACCUAGGUAGACGCUCUCUCCCAAAAUGCCAGACUUGCCUACAGAAAACACUCUACACAAUACUUUAGCAAUUAAAUGAUUGGCAAGAGCUGAAUACAGGCUGGUCUGCUUUCAUAUUUUAUGCUUUUCUGUAUUUGCCUUGUAAGAGUGAAGUCUUUGGAAUUCCGAAGUGUGGAGUGUUCCAUAGCUGUUUAUCACACACAGUAGGGGUGUUAUCCCAGUUGAGACUUUUUAAUUCUGAAUCAUUCUCUUUCAGGCAGUUAAAUAAUUUGUUCAGUGUAUGAACUUAUCAAAGGCCUAAACUUAAAUGUUUAAGACCAUCCAGCCCACUGUUCUAUAUAUAAAUCAACAUAAGAAGAGUGUUUCACUAAACUGUGCAUGGUGGGUGGUUGCUUUUUUGGGAUUUGGGCAGAGGUCAGAAUUUGCUGAACUUAAUUUGUCAUGGAUGAUGCAUACAGAAUUAACACAAUAUUUAAGGGAAACCUAACCAGAGUUUCUUGUUUCUUUCUUUGUAAUUAUUUUCUUUUUGGCAUAUCACCAAUUAAACAUCUUGCUGUAAUAUGUUUAAGAUGAAGCUUUUUUUAGUGUUAGCAAGGAUUGCAAAAUUUAAUUCUGAUAAGUGAAUAUUUUUUGCUUUACACAAUUGAAGAUAAAACAAUCCUUCUCCCUUUGAGAAAUGUCAGAAUUAUAUUCAACUCCUUUCCUCUCUUUCUGUCACUUCCAUAUGAACAGAGGUCGUACCACCAUUGACUGUAGUGACUUGCUUUCUGAUUUUAAGGUCAGAUGAAGAGUUACUCAGAACCUUGGCCAUGAGUGGCCAAGUGUAUUAGUAAUCUUUCACAUUCCUCUGGUUUUACAGGGAGAGUCAUUAUUGAAUGAAGCCAUGAUGAAUCAUAAUCUGUUGACAUUUGAUGUAGUCUGGUAGGACCACUGGGGAAUUGGCCUGAGUGUCAAAUUAGCCUUCAUCUGUGGCCAAUACGUCUUGAAUUUGCUAAAUAAAAGGCAUGGGGCUAACACAUGACUCGUAUUAGCAUUCCUUACCUGGAUUAAGACUUAUAGUAAGCAUACUGUAUGUUUGCCAUAGUUUUUUUCUUUAUUUAAACAAAGCUCUCAAAAUGACGUGAAAGCCACUAUCCAUAGGGGACAGCCACUGGCAUGGCUGCUUGGUAAGCUGUUGGGGUGGAGAAAUCACUGCCAUAUUUCCACAGAUACAUUUGCACAGUUUACCAGGUAUGCCAUGCUUAUGUAUAUAAUAACGUUAUAGCAAGUAAUUAAGUUCUUACUCCAAAGCUGUAAGUCCUGUUUAAGAACCAAAUUGUUCCUAUGUAUCACAAAGAAUUAUGGAUAUGAGCAGUUCUGAAUUUUCUUAUUUUUCAGUAACUGCAAGUUCUUUUGCAAGUCUGCCCUGAAAUGCUUAGUGCACAGGCUUAUAUUAGGUCAGAUUUUGGAAUGUUGUGUCUUUCACUGUGGGAAAUAAGCAGCAUAAAAGGAACUUACAAUUUCAGGAAAAUUGAGGCUUACAGGACAAAGUGAUAUUUUAUAGUGUGUACUGCAAACUGAAACGCAGCACAUGUAUAAUUGACUGGACGCUGAGAUUCAUGUCUGGUUUCACAUAUACAUCAUUUUUGUAAGAAAUGUAGCUUUUCUAAAAAAAAAAAAAAAAAGCUUAAAUGCUGUGCAGACUGAGUUCACACCAUACUGAUUAUAGUCUGUCUGCUUAGACGAUAAGCUUCUUAAGAUACAGGCUUUUUCUUCAUACAGCAGCUACCAUUAUGGGGCCUUGAUCUCAGGGAAAGUUUGUGCAAGUGGUAUGGUGCAGUCUGUAAUGGUAUCUGAAUAGCAGGACUACUUAGUUGAACUUCUUCCUUCCAUGACACGAUUUGCUCGAAGUCUUCUCUAUGUAGAACUGUGACGUGUUUAAAAAUGACCUCAGAAUCUGCCCUGAGUGUGUAUGGACUGUGCCCAUUUAUUUUCUUUUCAACUGGAAUGCAUGUGGUUGGUUUAGCCCUGGUUGAUUUAUGCAAUUUUCCUGUGACUGAAUCUUAAUUUUGUAACAUAUAUUCAUCUUGGAAAGUUAAUAUAACCAUUUAAUUACAGUUUGCAAUUCAGUAGUUUAUUCUUGACUAUAUAUCAAAGUUACAUAGAUGUUAACAGUGGUAGGAUGCUGAAAGGGAUGGCUAAUUCACUACACUAUUUCUAAAAGGCAGUUUUCUAAGUGGCUAAUUUAUUAGCACAACUUCAAAGCAUUCCUUUUGAAAGAAAAACUAAAUCUGCUCAUGAAGGCUGUCUCCAGCCAAAAAUGCCUAUCAAGUUUAAAUUUGGUAUGUCAGCGAAUCAAAAGGAUAUACUCCUAAUCCACGGCAGAGGAGGGAGUGAAGGGUAGAUAUAAUGUUUGAGAACUAGUCCCUAAUUAGAAGGUUUUAUAUCUGAAGUUUUGCUGUUGCAUAGACUGCAUUUCUGUGAAAGUUAGCUGAUGUGGUUUGCAUUUUAACACAAGGCAAUUUAUUCAUGUGCAAUCUUUAUCUUACUCAACUAUAUUGAAAAUAAUUUAAAAAUAAGAAGGACCAUAUAGUUUCUUCUAAAUCCAUUGAUGUUAGUUUAGAUACAAAAAUAAUGAGGUAAAUUAAAGUAAUUUAUUUCUACUUAGGCACCCUCUGUGGUUUCUUCUUCAAUCAAUAAGUUUUACAUUGUGUGAUCCGUGUUUAAGCAAUCACAGCUGUGUAGUUCAGCACCUAUAUAGAUACAAAAAUUCUGUUAAUGUUUUGCUUUACAGCAGGUAUCUCGUUUCUGGAUCAAUGGCAGGUGGUAUCUAGUUUUAGGGCAACAUGUAGGAAAUGUGGUAGAUUAAAAUUUUGUUCUGAUUUUUCUUGUCUGUUUGGACCUUUCUGGUUCCCAUCAAAGUAGAGUCACUCACUUAAAUUCAGGCAGUGUGUGUUUGGCUGUUCCUGGCCUUUAAUUCCUCAUGCUUUUUUCUUUUCUUUUAUUUUGGAGCAUAGGAAGCAAACUUUGGAAACAGUAAUCACACAGACACACAUUUUUUUAGUUCUUCUGAGAACUGGUUAGGUAUUUGCAUCUGCCAGGUUAAAAAACUGAAAUACACUGCUAAACCAAAUGGGUAAAUUUGAUAUGUCAAAAAAGAGCUCCAGUUACCAAAAAAUUAAUGGGCAGCAUCAGUGCCAUUGUACUGGUGCCUCUGAGGGGAAAGACACUCUGAUGGUGAAAGUAUUGGCAUGCACUUUUUCUGUGACAUGAAAAAAACCCCUGCCUUUUGUAAUAGUGGAAUUGUUGUUGUUCAUAACUGUCCAAAGUUAUACAAGAGUCAAGAUUUUUAGGGAAAGAUUGUCAGACAAUUAUUACACCUAUUAAAAAAGAAUGCAUUAGCCCUUCUCUGGGCACACAGAUUGUUCCUCAGUUCUGGUUGCUUUAUAUAUGUAUAUGUAUAUGUAUAUGUAUAUGUAUAUGUAUAUGUAUAUGUAUAUGUAUAUGUAUGCGUAUGCGUAUGUGUAUAUGUAUGUAUUAGCACAUAAAGCAAAAAAAAAAUGAACUCUUCCCGUUAUACUGAGCUUUUAAGUUUCUAGUUUUUUCUUCUCGUGAAAUGAGAACUUUAUAUUUAUUAAAAGGAAAGAAAGACUGUGUGAGAAGAAAAAUGCCCACCUCUUCUUCUCUAAGUUUCACAUCCCAGAGUGUCCUGAGAGUUCUCAGUUUCUCAGAGCUGCAUAAGAUUUGGCUGCUUUUAGUUCCACAUAGUGAAACUCAUUUCAGUAUGGAAUCAUCCAAAGAGUCAUAGUGUUUAUGCUCCUAGAGACAGGGUUAUAUAUUCUUUGAAAUACGAAGAAAAUAUUUAGCAAUUCAAGGUAAUGAAAAAGAAGCCAAUUAGUAGCUGCAUGAGCUAUGUGGAUGGUGUCUGGAGAGAAUUCACACUGCUCUGUCUGCACCUGCAUUGCAGUGGUACCUAGACAUAUUUUUUCAUUACUUUCCUCUAAAAAUCCCCCUUGGUCACUCCCGAAAGCAGGAUUACAGGUGGUUCAGGCAAUUGAUGUAAUUUGCUGUGAUGGAUAUUUUACUCCUAGGUAAAUAUAAAUAGUGGAAAAAUGUGAGAAAAUGAAUGGUACAAAGAAGCCAACAAAUAAAAUCCCUAAAAAAAUACACUAACUCAACAUAGCAUGUGACCAUUGAAACCUAGAAAAGAAAGAGUCCAGCUGUACAAAGAAGUGUUGCCUGAGAUGACAGAUGAGCAACACAUAUCGUGUGUGCUACUUAUUUUAAGAACAAUCAUUCUAUUUUUGGCCUGUUGUGACCAACUAUUACACAAUACCCAUUAGAGAAGGCUAUUACAGUACUACCCAUUAUUUCAGAUAUACUUAACAUUCUACCAGCAUUUGCAUGAUAAAUCUAUUUCUAAAGGCUACAAUGAGGCGGUAAAUGUUCAUUCAGCAACAAAGACAGCUAUGAUUAACCAUUUAAAAAAAUUGGGUAUAGAAUUGGCAGUUGACAAAAUCAGUCUUGUAUUCUGGCACUUAUAUAUAGGAAUUCAAAAGGUUCAAGCAGGUACUUGACAUGCCACUGGUUUAGGUUUGUACAGAACAUAGAUCAGUGGCUCUCUGUACCCUGUUCUGUAAGAAAGCUGCAGUGUUGCCUUUGAGACGCCAAAAUGCUGAUUAUCCAAACUGUUUGAGCCAUUACAAGACCCAGCAGGAUUGCCAUGAGUGAUCUCUGAGGACCAAGUGGGCAGCCUGAAUGACCAAAAUGCCUGGUAGAUCCUGAUUUCUAUGAGGCUGAAACACUGGUGCCAUCAUCCUCCCCCCUCUUCCUCAUUUUCUUCAAGACCCCACCUGUCACAGGCAACUCAGUGUCAACUGAUUGCAAAGGUCACCUGUGUCUCUUUUUACAUGGGAAGAGCAUACUUGGUACCACAACUUUGCCAAAACCUUACUUGUGUAAUGACCUCAUUGCCUGGGAAUAUCCCAGCAGAUUGGUCACCAGUGCUGCAUUAAGGGAGAAAAGCUGGAGGAGGUUAUAGAGUGGUUAAGUACAGCUGUCUUUGCUCAUGGGCUUGUAUACUGACUAUAAGCUUUUUAGAACACCCUGGUUUUGCCAUUCAGAUCAUCCUUUAACGUCAGGCUGUAUGUGGGCUGGAGAAGAACCCUCAGCUCUCUGGAGAGGAUGGAAGUGAAAUAUCGGCAGGCUCCAGCUCACAGACAGGACUCAACUAUUCGUCUUCAGUUCAUCACCACUUGACAGCUGACUAUGAGCCCUCUGACUGAAUCAUACACAUCUGUCAGCUGAUGUGGAGGAGGGCUUAUUCCAAGCAUCCAGCCUAGAUCCUGCAGUAGAAAGUUCUUCCUUCCUCCUGCUGGACAGCAAGCAGGAUUCAGACAUUGAGUCGUCAGGCAAACUGGCUCCGUGUGAUGGAUUUUUGUGUGUCCCACUACCUCUCCAGCAGAAGUCCAGACUGCAGAGGACACACCAACUGUGUAACAUCCCAGAUCUUCAGAUUCCAGUAGUCCUGUAUAACUGUCACCAAGCAAUGUCAAAGCUCACCAAGACAUAGGAUAAGCAAGCAGCACAGCUGCAGUAGGACUAUGUAGAGUAGACACUUGGUGUAGCCAGGACCUCCUGAGACAGAACAACCUGAUGGGGCAGGAAGAGUUCCUGGCACUUCUUACUCCAGACAUGAGAGCUCAAAUUGCCAGUUUCCCGGGGAACUCCAUAACCACCUACCAGGUGGAGAAAGCAGGGUGUCCCACACCACUCCCAAGCAGAGAACGAGUUUACGGUGCCUGGCCUGCUGGCUGACUUUGUGAGCUUUUGUAUUCUUAAGCCUAGGAAAUCCACUCAAAUGGCUGCAUCAAUAGGUAAUGAAGCUUUGGAGGGUGCACCUUCAAACUCAUCAAUAUCGAUAGUGGCAUGUUCAUACCCUUAGGUGGGACUGAACGUCACAGUAUUCUCUCUGUUUCUUUAAUUAUUUUUUUUUUUUUGGUUGUUCCCUUUGACUUUGCUAUUUGGAGGAGAUGACCUGUCACAGGCUGGUAAUUCUAAUUAAGAUUGGACAUGUUGUGAUGUAAUGAGGAAGUAGACAGACUCACGGAGGUGUCCCUACCCAUGGCAGGGGAGUUGGAAUGGGAUGAUGUUUAAGGUCCCUUGCAACUCAAAGCAUUCUAUGAUUCUAUGGUUAUUGUUCAACAGAGAAGACUAGAAAUAUUCAUGUUUUGUUUCACGCAUUGCAACAGACAUAUGCUGGGCUAUAGAUGUAUUUUUUUUUUUAUUAAAUUACCCUUGAGAACAUAGUGUUGUUCUCUUUCUCUCUGUCAUCAGCCAGAAUUACGAAGUCCAAAGAGAGCCCCUCGGUGAAUGUAAUUUGUCUGAAUUAAGACCUAACUUACUAAGUAUGGCGAGUUUCUGGGUUUUAUGUGGCAGGACUGUGUCUGAUUUUAUCUGGUCCUAGUGAACAAGGGUGACUUGUAGGAAAAAUUAUGUAUGGGGCAGUUCUACUUUUGGAUUCUGACUGUGCUGGCUGCGACAAGAACAGCUGUCCCAUUUUGUAAUGUAUUCUUUUUGCUUAUCAGUUUCCUGUUGUGGUAGGUAAUCCACAUUGGUUGGCUUUCAGGUCUACUUGCCAGCCGCUUUACUUUAUAAGGUUAUACAGUUGCCUUGCACUUGUCAAAGGAGAGAACAAAUGUGAAAACAAAUAAAGUUUUA